UACAGAGGGUGCAAGCGUUGUUCGGAAUUACUGGGCGUAAAGCGCACGUAGGCGGCUUUGUAAGUUAGAGGUGAAAGCCCGGGGCUCAACUCCGGAAUUGCCUUUAAAACUGCAUCGCUCGAAUUGUGGAGAGGUAAGUGGAAUUCCUGGUGUAGCGGUGAAAUGCGCAGAUAUCGGGAGGAACACCAAUUGCGAAGGCAGCUCGCUGGGACGUCACUGACGCUGAGACGCGAAAGCGUGGGGAGCAAACAGGG
rnacentral:rRNA from 1 species